AAAGAUUAAGCCAUGCAUGUCUAAGUAUAAGCAACUUGUACUGUGAAACUGCGAAUGGCUCAUUAAAUCAGUUAUCGUUUAUUUGAUAGUACCUUACUACAUGGAUACCUGUGGUAAUUCUAGAGCUAAUACAUGCUAAAAACCCCGACUUCAGGAAGGGGUGUAUUUAUUAGAUAAAAAACCAACGCCCUUCGGGGCUCCUUGGUGAAUCAUAAUAACUUAACGAAUCGCAUGGCCUUGCGCCGGCGAUGGUUCAUUCAAAUUUCUGCCCUAUCAACUUUCGAUGGUAGGAUAGUGGCCUACCAUGGUGGCAACGGGUAACGGGGAAUUAGGGUUCGAUUCCGGAGAGGGAGCCUGAGAAACGGCUACCACAUCCAAGGAAGGCAGCAGGCGCGCAAAUUACCCAAUCCCGAUACGGGGAGGUAGUGACAAUAAAUACUGAUACGGGGCUCUUUUGGGUCUCGUAAUUGGAAUGAGAACAAUUUAAAUCCCUUAACGAGGAACAAUUGGAGGGCAAGUCUGGUGCCAGCAGCCGCGGUAAUUCCAGCUCCAAUAGCGUAUAUUAAAGUUGUUGCAGUUAAAAAGCUCGUAGUUGAACCUUGGGUCUGGCUGGCCGGUCCGCCUCACCGCGAGUACUGGUCCGGCUGGACCUUUCCUUCUGGGGAACCUCAUGGCCUUCACUGGCUGUGGGGGGAACCAGGACUUUUACUGUGAAAAAAUUAGAGUGUUCAAAGCAGGCCUUUGCUCGAAUACAUUAGCAUGGAAUAAUAGAAUAGGACGUGUGGUUCUAUUUUGUUGGUUUCUAGGACCGCCGUAAUGAUUAAUAGGGAUAGUCGGGGGCGUCAGUAUUCAGCUGUCAGAGGUGAAAUUCUUGGAUUUGCUGAAGACUAACUACUGCGAAAGCAUUCGCCAAGGAUGUUUUCAUUAAUCAGGGAACGAAAGUUAGGGGAUCGAAGACGAUCAGAUACCGUCGUAGUCUUAACCAUAAACUAUGCCGACUAGGGAUCGGACGGGAUUCUAUAAUGACCCGUUCGGCACCUUACGAGAAAUCAAAGUUUUUGGGUUCUGGGGGGAGUAUGGUCGCAAGGCUGAAACUUAAAGAAAUUGACGGAA
rnacentral:rRNA from 1 species